rnacentral:piRNA from 1 species
UCGUUCGGAAACUCUUUGUAU